AGUAACACGUGAGUAACCUGCCCUUAACUCUGGGAUAAGCCUUGGAAACGAGGUCUAAUACUGGAUAUUGACUUUACCUCGCAUGGGGUUUUGUUGAAAGAUUUAUUGGUUUUGGAUGGACUCGCGGCCUAUCAGCUUGUUGGUGAGGUAAUGGCUCACCAAGGCGACGACGGGUAGCCGGCCUGAGAGGGUGACCGGCCACACUGGGACUGAGACACGGCCCAGACUCCUACGGGAGGCAGCAGUGGGGAAUAUUGCACAAUGGGCGAAAGCCUGAUGCAGCGACGCCGCGUGAGGGAUGACGGCCUUCGGGUUGUAAACCUCUUUCAGUAGGGAACAAGGCCAAUGUUUAGUUGGUUGAGGGUACUUGCAGAAGAAGCGCCGGCUAACUACGUGCCAGCAGCCGCGGUAAUACGUAGGGCGCAAGCGUUAUCCGGAAUUAUUGGGCGUAAAGAGCUCGUAGGCGGUUUGUCGCGUCUGCCGUGAAAGUCCGGGGCUCAACUCCGGAUCUGCGGUGGGUACGGGCAGACUAGAGUGAUGUAGGGGAGACUGGAAUUCCUGGUGUAGCGGUGAAAUGCGCAGAUAUCAGGAGGAACACCGAUGGCGAAGGCAGGUCUCUGGGCAUUAACUGACGCUGAGGAGCGAAAGCAUGGGGAGCGAACAGGAUUAGAUACCCUGGUAGUCCAUGCCGUAAACGUUGGGCACUAGGUGUGGGGGACAUUCCACGUUUUCCGCGCCGUAGCUAACGCAUUAAGUGCCCCGCCUGGGGAGUACGGCCGCAAGGCUAAAACUCAAAGGAAUUGACGGGGGCCCGCACAAGCGGCGGAGCAUGCGGAUUAAUUCGAUGCAACGCGAAGAACCUUACCAAGGCUUGACAUGAACUGGAAACGCUUGGA
rnacentral:rRNA from 1 species